GCGCCUCGUUGCUACGUAUGCUAGUGCGCGAAAAUGGAAGUUCGAGAAGACUACACGGUUUCGGGACACUACGCAAACAGUUUCACAAGUCUGUAUAAAGCCGAUCCAGAAUAAACAACUCCAGUGACCCUUUGUAAUUGUUGCAGAGACAUAACAAGACAUCUGCAAGGUUUAAAACUUAGUGAUGGCCGACAAACAACCUGCCAACCCAACCGCGGACAGCGAAGGAAGUCAUACCCCAAAGAAUCACAUUAUAUACAGGACUCAGAACUUUGACAAUCACAGACCCUGUCAUAACAUCAAACUGGACUGAUGAGGCAGAAUAUAUCUUACAGAAUGUUUCAACAAGCGAAAAGUCGAAGAAUGUGUUGACCCAGUGCUUAAUCUGAUUGCACCAGGGCAAUCAGAGAAAUUAAAACAAUUGAUUAUGUUAGGACCUUAAACAACUCCAACAGAUAAAGAGCUUACAAACUACAUGUAUAUGAGGAGAUAACUAACAUUGAACUUCACACUCAAAUUUUUUCAAUGUCAAAAAACUAUGUUAAUAUAUAUAACAGUAAUAAGAUGUACAUGUAUAACUAAUUUAUGUAGAAGAUAAGUGCAUAUAUGUAUGUCCCUUUCUCACUGAUUGUCCAUUAUACAUGUAUAGAAAGAAUAAAGAAAUUUUAUAUCUCAUUACUUCAAGAAAAAUUAUGUGUAAUUAGCAUUAAGAAAGACAAAUUUAGCUGCAUGGUUAAUAACCAAGGAAGACAGAACAAUAACUAAUGAUUAAGUUAAUUGAAUUUCUAAUAUAAAAAAAGAAUCUCAGAAUGCUAUGAUAUUUUUAUAAUAACAAGUGAAAUACUUUGUACUUAUCAUGAUAUAUCAUGAUUUCAUCUUUAAUUACCAAUAUGUGUAUUUAUGUAAUAACCAUGAUGGUAGCUACAUUAUUUGGACUACAUACAGUGUUUUCCCCAGAAAAUGUUUGAUGCAUGGGGGGAAAUUUGUCAGAGUAGGUGCACGGUGCAGUGUUAAAGGGCCCACACCGGGGCAAAAACACUUCGAGUAAAAAUAAUAUAACCAUCUGAUGAAAUGUACUGCAUGAUAUGCACUAAAAUUAAUGCAUUUUCAUGAAAUUCAUAUUUUGUAUUUAUGUAAUUACCAUGAUGGUAGCUACAUUUUUGGACUACAUAUACAUGUAUAUAGGAAUAUUCUAAUAGCAUAAAUUUGUAUACACAGCAUUUACCCAACUGCUGCACAUUCAUAUAAAUGUAUGCACUAUUUUUAUCCCCCCUUCGAAGAAGACGGCCAGUCCACCAACAGUUAUCAUUCAUUUUCUUCGCAGGGGUUCCACAUUUUGAAAUGAAAUUUGGUAUACAGAUUUAUCUGAAUAAGAUCUAGGCAAAGUUAUUUUUUGGGUAUGAUUGAGCAAUUUUUGACCUUGGAAUUAAAAAAAAUUCCAAUUAUUUGCAUUUUCUUCUCAGAUGUUUCCAAAGGAGGGGGCAUAGUUGUUUCACAAACAUGUCUUGUUUGUGUGCAAUCGUUCACUUAGGAUUUUCUUUUUAAAAAAUUGU